rnacentral:lncRNA from 1 species
UUCAUCUUAGGCAUCUUCAGCUUGGGGCCCUUCAGCUUCCCUUCUGGACCUUCAAGGCUCACAUCUGGGACUUCAACAUCCACCUUGGGUCCUGAGACAACAACAUCAGCCUUGGGCAAGUUCACAUCCACUUCUGGGCCCUCUGCUUUGAAGCCAGGCAUGCUGAACUUGGGCAUUUUCAUCUUGGGCAUCUUCAGGUGCCAGUCUGGGCCUUGAACCUCCACAUCUGGGACAUCAAUGUCCAUUUUGGCACUUUUAAGUUCAACAUCAGGAACUUUAAUCUCACUUUCAAC